CCUACGGGAGGCAGCAGUGGGGAAUUUUGGACAAUGGACGCAAGUCUGAUCCAGCCAUGCCGCGUGUGGGAAGAAGGCCUUCGGGUUGUAAACCACUUUUGUCAGGGAAGAAACGGCUCUUACUAAUAUUAGGAGCUAAUGACGGUACCUGAAGAAUAAGCACCGGCUAACUACGUGCCAGCAGCCGCGGUAAUACGUAGGGUGCAAGCGUUAAUCGGAAUUACUGGGCGUAAAGCGUGCGCAGGCGGUUAUGCAAGACAGAUGUGAAAUCCCCGGGCUCAACCUGGGAACUGCAUUUGUGACUGCAUAGCUAGAGUACGGUAGAGGGGGAUGGAAUUCCGCGUGUAGCAGUGAAAUGCGUAGAUAUGCGGAGGAACACCGAUGGCGAAGGCAAUCCCCUGGACCUGUACUGACGCUCAUGCACGAAAGCGUGGGGAGCAAACAGGAUUAGAUACCCUGGUAGUCCACGCCCUAAACGAUGUCAACUGGUUGUUGGGAGGGUUUCUUCUCAGUAACGUAGNUAACGCGNGAGUGACGCGNGGNGNGCGCGAGUGAGANANAGAGUGNGNGNGAGAGNGCGACGACGACGACGAGGGAGGAGG
rnacentral:rRNA from 1 species